rnacentral:misc_RNA from 1 species
GUACCUUCAAGCUUUGCUUGGUGUUGGGUGUUUGUCCUGAGGGACUCGCCUUAAAGUAAUUGGCAGCCAGUGUUUGGUUUUGAAGCGCAGCACAAGUCGCGAUUCAAGGCUAUACACCAGCUUCCACAAGCCUUAUUUACCCAA